AUUGAACGCUGGCGGCAGGCCUAACACAUGCAAGUCGAACGAGUGGCGGACGGGUGAGUAAUGUCUGGGAAACUGCCUGAUAGAGGGGGAUAACUACUGGAAACGGUAGCUAAUACCGCAUACAAUCAGAUGUGCCCAGAUGGGAUUAGCUAUUUGGUGGGGUAACGGCUCACCAAGGCGACGAUCCCUAGCUGGUCUGAGAGGAUGACCGGCCACACUGGGACUGAGAAACGGCCCAGACUCCUACGGGAGGCAGCAGUGGGGAAUAUUGCACAAUGGGCGCAAGCCUGAUGCAGCCAUGCCGCGUGUAUGAAGAAGGCCUUCGGGUUGUAAAGUACUUUCAGCGGGGAGGCGUUACCCGCAGAAGAAGCACCGGCUAACUCCGUGCCAGCCGCCGCGGUAAUUC
rnacentral:rRNA from 1 species